AGAGUAGUAAUUUUUAAAAAAUAAUCAUUUUGCAUAUGGGAAAAACACUUAUGUGUCUACUUUGC
rnacentral:tRNA from 1 species